CCUACGGGAGGCAGCAGUGGGGAAUAUUGCACAAUGGGCGCAAGCCUGAUGCAGCCAUGCCGCGUGAAUGAAGAAGGCCUUCGGGUUGUAAAGUUCUUUCGGUGAUGAGGAAGUAAGAGAUGUUAAUAGCAUUUUUAAUUGACGUUAGUCACAGAAGAAGCACCGGCUAACUCCGUGCCAGCAGCCGCGGUAAU
rnacentral:rRNA from 1 species